rnacentral:rRNA from 1 species
GACGGAGGAUGCAAGCGUUAUCCGGAAUGAUUGGGCGUAAAGCGUCCGCAGGUGGCAGUUCAAGUCUGCUGUCAAAGACCGGGGCUUAACUUCGGAAAGGCAGUGGAAACUGAACAGCUAGAGUAUGGUAGGGGCAGAGGGAAUUCCUGGUGUAGCGGUGAAAUGCGUAGAGAUCGGGAAGAACAUCGGUGGCGAAAUCGCUCUGCUGGACUGCAACUGACACUCAGGGACGAAAGCUAGGGGAGCGAAGGGG